CAAAAGCUAGACGGGCGGUGUGGCAGACGCCUUUUCUUGAAAGAUCUCUUCAAAAUAACGCUUAUCAGACUGAACUGGUCGGUCCACUACGCAUUAUGAUGAGGAUUUUAGAUCUUAAAAAGGUGUCUCUCGUCUUGUUGGUGGUUGCGACAGCAAUGGUGGUUGUGUGGUAUAGACAGCUCUCAACGUCUAUGUCGUCUAUAUGGAGAGUUAAAAACUCAGGUAACACGACUGUGGGCACAUCGCGUCCUGUCUACGUCACGCCGGUUCCCAUCUUCACAGUACAGAAACAAAACUGGACGAAAUACCUCAU